UACGGAGGGGACUAGCGUUGUUCGGAAUUACUGGGCGUAAAGCGUGCGCAGGCGGCUUUGCAAGACAGAUGUGAAAUCCCCGGGCUCAACCUGGGAACUGCAUUUGUGACUGCAUGGCUGGAGUGCGGCAGAGGGGGAUGGAAUUCCGCGUGUAGCAGUGAAAUGCGUAGAUAUCAGGAGGAACACCGGUGGCGAAGGCGGAUCUCUGGGCCAUUACUGACGCUGAGGAGCGAAAGCGUGGGGAGCGAACAGG
rnacentral:rRNA from 1 species